UUUUUUAUAGUUUAAAUAAAAACAUUACAUUUUCAAUGUAAAAUUAGAUUAUAUCUUAAAAAUA
rnacentral:tRNA from 3 species